rnacentral:rRNA from 1 species
GAUGAACGCUGGCGGCGUGCCUAAUACAUGCAAGUCGAGCGAACAGACGAGGAGCUUGCUCCUCUGACGUUAGCGGCGGACGGGUGAGUAACACGUGGAUAACCUACCUAUAAGACUGGGAUAACUUCGGGAAACCGGAGCUAAUACCGUAUAACAUGUUGAACCGCAUGGUUCAACAGUGAAAGACGGUCUUGCUGUCACUUAUAGAUGGAUCCGCGCCGCAUUAGCUAGUUGGUAAGGUAACGGCUUACCAAGGCAACGAUGCGUAGCCGACCUGAGAGGGUGAUCGGCCACACUGGAACUGAGACACGGUCCAGACUCCUACGGGAGGCAGCAGGAGGGAAUCUUCCGCAAUGGGCGAAAGCCUGACGGAGCAACGCCGCGUGAGUGAAGAAGGUCUUCGGAUCGUAAAACUCUGUUAUUAGGGAAGAACAAAUGUGUAAGUAACUAUGCACGUCUUGACGGUACCUAAUCAGAAAGCCACGGCUAACUACGUG